AAAAUCUGAUUUUGAAGACCCUUUAAAGAGGUUUGUACCAUAUUAUUAUAUGGCAUCUUUAUUAUUAUUUUGGUCACCCAAAUAUUCCCAUGAACAGUCUGCUGAGAGGAACAACCAGAUGCACUCGUGUGAGAUUUGGAAGGUAGAUGGAAAUGGAGGCCAUGCUUCUGCCACUUCUGUGGUUUCUGUUGUUCAGGGCUGUCUGUCAUGAGGUGCCGAGUUCAUCAGGAGGCAUCCCAGUGUCCCGUUACAGCUUCACAGUGUCAAGGGCAGGGCAUGGGCAUCCGUGUUUUUGCCAGUGCAGACCUAGCAGGAACAAAAUGUUUCCAGUAGCUGAGGUGGUGGCAACUUCCGGAUUCUGGAGUGUGCUGUGGCAGCAUGGCCUAGAAUGGAGGGCUCCGCGGUGGCUUUCUGACCCUCCGCCUCUCUGACCAUGCCAGAGGAAGCAGCCUCUCUGGUCUCCUGUUCUGUGACUUUGCUCUGGGACCAUUCCUGGAAGCCCAGCCUAAAACUCGCUCCUCCAACCUCCAACAAUGUCCAACCUUCCUGGGAGCCAUUGCUAUUGGAGGCUUCAUAAAUAUUUUGGGCUUGCACUGCCCUGAAGAGAAACUACCCUUCUCUAUAUGAUGUCCAGGCAGUUGUAACCCUGGCACAGCCUGUGCUCCCAUCCUUAACAGCGGGUGGCAAUUGGAUUUAAGUGGAAAAGCCCUGUUUUCUAGCCAUGACCUAGAGGAGAAGUCUAUGACCCCUGAGGGGGACAGAAGACCUGCCAGCCAGGCCCUGGUGAGCCCCAGGGCUGGCGGUGCUCUAGACAGUCUCAGCUUAUCAGGAUGAAGCUGGAAGGAAUCAAGCCAUGCAGAUAUGAAGGGAAGAGUGUUCCAAGCCGGAAGCCGGGGAGAGGCUGGAGCACGACAGCCAUGUCUAGCUCAUCGCUUCAGACCCCUGGGGGAAGGGAGAGGCUGGCUGGCCAGGGACCACAGGAGAGUUUCUGCUUCAGAAGCGCUUUCUGAGACUCACAAUACAGAUGUCCAGGCCUCACACCUAGAGAUUCUGAGGCGGGGCCAGGGCUCCCUUUUUUUGCUGUUUAAGUCCCACAGGUAAAUAGGGUCUCUCAUAUUUUGCCAAGGGGAGUGUAAUCUGUACAAUUUGGCCAUAACUAUCAGAAUUUUAAGAUCUUAUGUCCUUUGACCUAGUAAUUUCAUUUCCAAGAAUUUCCUCUACAGAGAUAUGCACAUAUUAUUUAAAACGAAGAGGCUAUGAGGAUAGGCAAUGCAGCAAUGUUUGUAACAGCAAAGACUACAAACAAGCCACGCGUCCAAAAAGGCUCUGCUUUUUCAAACUAUGGUCCAGCCUUACAAUGAACACUGCAUCUUUUUGAAAAGACUGAGGAAGUGCUGUGUGAACUGAUGUGGAACCAUCUCCAAGAUUUACUGUGAAGUUAAAAAAGGAAAGAGCAGAACCGUGUGUAGAGUACACUACCCUUUGUACGAUCUGAGAUUGCAUAUGCCCACACCAUCACAUCCGAAAGCUGGAACAGAGGAUGCCUCUGGGAAGGGAGCUGGGUGACUGGGAACAGGGGCAGGGGAGGGACUUGCUUUUCAGAGCAUUUUUUACCUUUUAAGUUUUGUACCAAGUGCCUGUAUAUCUACUUAAAAGAUAAAAAAGGAAAAGGAGAAGCUCCCCCAGUGAUUCUGAUGUUCACAAAGAUUAAGAAUCAAUGUGAGCGAGGCACUGCUGAGACCACCCAGGAGAGAGUGAACCGUCCCAUAAAAUACAAAAGACCGUUCAGCAGAGGAUGGGGACGUUUGUCCACGGUAGGAGUGGGUGGGACUGGGGUGGCGCAAGCUAGGAAUGGAGGGCUAGUCCCAGGGCCACACAACCAGGUGAAACCGUGGUGUAUGUGAGCCUGGUUCUUACUCUGAUCUGACCCAAGAGACAGCAGUUUUCUUUCUCUGGAAUCCCACUGCCCUUUGGACUGUGAGCUGUGGUUCCAGCUCCUGGAUUCUGACCAGCAUCUUUCUUCAAAUCUGUCAGUUUUUCUGUCCCAGCCUCUCUCGCUUCCUUUCUGCCCCCUACCCUUCCUGCGUAGCCUGGCUUUGCAGAUAAGACCUUAUCCAGACAUCAGUAGUUUUGACAUCCCCUGUGACAAUGCUCCCUGGUGUCCCAUUCACAGAAUAUCCCAUUCAUUCUCUUUCUCUCUCUUUUGCUGCCUCCAAGUCUUUGCUCAUGUCUGUUCCCAGCAACCUUUCUCUCCUCCAGCACAUUCUGCCUUAAAUUAUUAGUUUCUCGAAACAGAGCCUAUCAGUCUUCGCAGCACUACCUUUCUUAUCUCAUCGCUCAUCCCAAAGCUUCUUUUCCUCCCACCACGCCCGCCUCGCUUUCUGCAGAUCUCUUAGACCCCAUCCUGGUGUGCAUAGGGCACAAGUCUCUCUCAGGGCACAUAUUCACAGAUAUGAUGUCCAUGUUCACAGUUAACUGUGGCUUCUGCCAUCCAGACGGGCUUACCCUGAAUAAAUACAUAUUCUAGGAUGUGGAAAAUAUGCAGGACUUAAAUGCACAGGCUCUAGAUUCAAUCUCCCCGUGAUUAAAUUCCUUCUCUGCUAGCUGCACGAUUAGACGUGUGACCUUGAGAAAAUUACUUAACUUCUCUGGGCCUCAUUUUUCUCAUCUGUAAAGUGGGGAAAAUGACAGCAUUUGCCCCAUAGGAGGGUAAAAGAAGAAGGUGUAAAUAAAGUGCUGACUGUAGGGCCUGGCCCAUAUCAAGCUCUCCCAAAACAAUGGCUAUUUUGUUAUUUUUACAACAACAAGUGAUUUGGCUUUAGAACUGUUUUCUAAACAAUGUUCACUUGUUUUAUACCUGGACGCUAAACCUAUUAUAUGAACCUAAUGUAUGGAGACCAUAUCUUUUUAACCAACAUGUGUAUUUCUGGCAGAUUCGAUAUACGUCAUCUCAUCUGGUCCUUAAAACAGCUGGGUCCCAGGUGAGGUACGUGGUUUCACUUCACCAUUCCUAUUGUACAGAGCUGUGGGCACAUUAAAUAGCUUCUCCAAAGUCACCGCCAAUUCUAGCCUAUAGAUCUCCUACCUCUUUCCAUUAAACCACAUAGAUCAGGCACUGGCAAACCUUUUCUGUAAAGAACCGGAUAGUAAAUAGUUCACAUUUGUGGACCACAUACCGUCUCUGUCUCAUACCCUGCUUUUCAGUUAGUUUGUUUGUUCUUAAACAACCCUUUAAAAAUAUAAAUUCUUAGCAAUAGGCAGGUACAGAAACAGACCAUAGGCCACCUUUGGCUCGACUGUUGUAGUUUAUCAAGCUCUGAUAUAGUUUAUGCUGAUAAAUCAAUAUAAACCUAAUGAAAUGGAUAUACUUAAGAAACCUUACCCUUUGUUAACAAUAAUUGUUAAUAUUUGUUAAAUGUUUACUAUGUGUCAAAUACUGUUCCAAGUUUUUUACAUGUAUUAACUUAUCCUCUCAGCCACCCUAUUUGUAGGUACUGUCGUCAGCCCCGUUUUAGGAAUGGGAAAACUGAACACAGGGAGGAGGGUAAGUAACUUUCCCAACGCCGCAGGGCCAGUAAGUAGCCUAGCUAGUGUUCAAAUCCAAGCAGUUCAGCACCAGAGCCUGGGCACUGAACCCACCUGAUUGUCAGCUGGGGGCACUGACUUGUACAGCGAUGUGGGGGAGGGGAGAAAGGGGAUGGCAGGAGCUGAGUAAACCCUAGAAGCUCCUGGAAUAGAUAGGUUUCAGAACCAUUCACCCUGAAGCUAAGGAGGCGUGGAUACAUGCCACCUGUGUUUUAUGAAGAAUGGCCAGGCUGGAAACCUGUGAUGGCUUUCCUUCAUGCCACAACAAUAGAGGAUGUGCAUGAGACUGCAGAGGCAUCUUGAUUUGAGAAAAGCACUUGAUUGGAUCUCAUUAAAUUUUAAUCAUAAACUGAACUCAAAGUAAAUUGAAAACUUGUUGACAGAGCACAAACAAAGGGUGAGGAUAACUGGCGAUGCAUCUAGAGAGGGGAUAUCUUCCAGGGGACGCCUCUGAGGCAAGGAUGGAUGGGAUUUAAUGAAGGUGUUAUGUCCCUGGAAGAAGACAAAUAGCAGAGCAAGAAACAGAGGAAGGGCAGGAGUGAGCAGCCUGAGUAAUUAAUAAACCACAUUACCAGCUCCUAAAUGAUCAAGGCUUGCUGUUACCAACUGCUUGGAUUUUUUUAAAAAAGCAUUCUUUGGGUCAACAAUAGGGUUGAAGGGUCCUAGAGACACACAGCAUGAAUAUUUCAGGUGGACAUAUUAAUAAAUAUAUAAAUUUACAGCUAGGAAGAUCCUCAGAUGCACUUUGGACCAGAUCCUUGCAGUCACAGAUUCUCAAGGUCUUACUUCAUUCUCCAGGGAGUAAUUUUUUUCAUAACUGUCCAAAAAUUUGGGAUUUAAAAAAAAUCUUUAAACUCAUUAAUGUUCUUUGUUUACUGCCCCAACGCAUGCAAACUCUCCCAACAUUGGUUUGCUUAGUGGAAGUUGGUUUUGAGUGAACUGUGUGGCUCAGGUUCAAAUUCCAGUGAGGAAAUAUUUCCAAGUUUACUUGCAGAAUUUCCCAGACAGAGAAGUUCUUCCAUUUGGUUUGCCAGAGGAUUGGAAGCAGUGGUGAGCCCUGGAGACAAGGGAACAUUUACUGGCCCUUGUUCAUACCCUGCACAGUACAGCUCACAGCAGGCUGAAGGCGGUGCAGCGUGACCCGACCUGAUGUGCGGAAGUUUGCUCUGCAACUCCUCUGAGCUGCUCAACUCAAUGACGGGGCUAAUGGGAAAGGACUGACUCCACCACGCUGGAAGCUGGUAAAAACCGUUUAGAGAACAACCUCAAACCAGCCCAUGGGUUCUCUUGUUUGUUUGUUUUGUUUCAGAUAAGGUUUCUCUAAACACACGUUCGUGAUUCUUAAUUCAGUCCAGACCCCAGAGUGAGGAAAAGAAGGGGCAGAAAGGAAAAAAAAUCGGCAGAGGGAGGAGAAGGGAUAGAAAGGAAGAAAGGAAAAUGGAAGAGAAGCAACGAGAGUGGGAAACCUUGAAGGAAAAGUUUAAAAAACUCGUCCUUUAUUGGUGGAGGAGAGAGGCUUGCUUAAACUGUGAUUUUUACGUAUUACAGUUGGAAGGGAAGGGAAAGAAUGAAUGCAGGCAAAAGGCAAAAGUGUUACAGAGCAUUUGAAAAUCACUAACACCUUAAUCUUGAGAGAAGCAGGCUUACAUAUUUUCCAUCUUUGCACCCUCCCAAAGUGAGUACCCCUGAGUUAAAAGUCUGCUCCCCAACAUGCUUUCACUCCUAGUCAGCCCACCCCAGGCACGGAGCAGAGCAGGGGCUUCUGUCAAGUGCCACCUCAUCACAAAUGACACCAGAUGAGGAAUGACUUUGGGUGGCCUUUCUGGAUCAAAGCUAGGCUGGCAGCAAAUAACAGCCUGAUUUCAGAUAGUGGUGCAUGUUAUUUGAAAAGAAAAAAAAAAAUCAGUAACUCAUCACAGGUGAAACAUCUUGAAAUUCCUGUCCUCCCAACCCAGGGUGAUAGAGAGAGCCAUCUAAAAACAUGACAGGGGCCAUACCAGGGCCUUGAUAUUCCACAGAAACAGCUGAGCAAUACCGAAAGCCGUGAGUCAGUCCAUCCCACACAGUCAGGGCCUGUUUGAACUGUAUGGAGGGAGAGUAACAGCUCAAAAGAAACAAUAAGGAUUUUUUUUGAAAAGCUUAAGGAUUCUGUGUGUCGGUCAUCAAAUAACGCGUCUGAUCCUAGUCAUCACCCUUACGUGGUAUCUAGACGUGCUUCACAGCUUCCCUUCACCCCCCAUUAAAGGCCCCACACACAGUGACUGGUCUAGCCAAGGAGUGGUUUCCAGCUCCUGCUAAGUCAGUAACGUAGCCUUCUGGAGCCAGGCUCGUCUGCCAGCUCUCGGGCCUGCCCUGACUCUGUGGGCAAGUGCACGGACUGGUUCUUCCUGGGUAACCCAAAUGGGACAUAAAUUAAUUCAAGAAACCCCCUGCUUUCUCCUAUUUAACUAGAGCCAAGAAUAACACCUAAAUUCCAGGCAGCCUCCUGCAGAGCCACGUGGCAGCCCAGCACACCACACCGCCGCUGCUCUCAGCCUCUUACCCAGGCUAUGGCUUCACCUUUUGCCUCGAGAGCAGAUGCCCUUAAAUGGAUUGGGAAAAGCCUGAAAGAUGCUUCUGUCAAGUACUGCCUUUGGAAUACAACCCAUCAGGAAGAACAAGAGGAAUCUUUUUUUCCAAUUCUCCCACCAACUGUUUCCCCAGAUGUGAGCCUAAGGGCUCUGUGGGGAGAUACCAAGCGUUGCAGUGCUGCUUUUAAUUGCUGGUAGCUGGGCCUUCCUCCCAUCUCAGUUUAUCCCGAGCAGAAAGGCAGCACUUGGGGGAAGGAGUUAAUGGUUCCUACCUAGGAGCCCUUGCUGGGGCCCCACUGAAAAGCGGCCUGAGGAUGUAAACUGUUUAGAGAGGGUGUCCUGAACACAAGAAACUUCCAUCUGAACAUGCCUGAGGCAGUUACAGUGAAAUAUGGAUGACAGGGAAAGUGUCAGAGAGCCUAGGAAAUGAACACCUCCGGCCCCCAGCAGUACCCCCUGGUGUUCUCAGGCUAAUACACACACCCUUUUAGCUGGCAUCACAGGAGACGAACGCUUAUUUAAAAAAAUAUUUCUUAUUUAUUUAUUUAUUCAUUUAUUUUGGUUGCACCGGGUCUUAGUCACGGCACGCGGGAUCUUCAGUUGCGGUGUGCGUGCAGGAUCUAGUUCCCCGACCAGGGAUCGAACCCUGGCCCCCUGCAUUGGGAGCAUGCAGUCUCGCCCACUGGACCACCAGGGAAGUCCCAGGAGAGGAACUCUUCACUGAGGACCUACCAUAUACUACUUGCUAGUGCAUUUAAUCCUGCAAACAGUCCUGUGAGAUGCAUUUACUACUGUCAUUCCCACUUUACCUUUGAAGAAUCUGAGGCUCAAGACUUAGAGUAACCUCUCCAGGGUCAGCCAGAUAGUCUGUGGAGAAGGAUUCCUGCACUGUCUCAUUUCUAGGUGGGGAUGUUUCCUCCCGUUCCUUUGUUGCCCUGCUGUAGUCUGUCCUUCCUUAUGUGCUUGGAUGGAGCCCACAUAACUUGUUUUCUUUGCACAAUUCUUGACAACAACGCUUAAUGUGGGUGGGGAAAGGUGUAGGCAAUAAAAGGGUGGGGCUGAGACUGUGCCGGUUCCCAAAGUGCAGUGUUUACAUAUGGUGAAGGCUGCUGUGUGCAUAAUAGGGCAGUCAAGAGCUGGGCCAGCCCUCUCCCUCUAGUUAAAAGUCUAGGAGGGGAGGAUUUGUGCUUGCCAGAUUCUAGAGUGGCUCAGUAUUCUUGCAAAAGGCAUAAUUCCAUAAAGGUCAGCUUUCCCCACCUCUGUAAACAAAACCGUUUGGACCUAAUGCUCAGAACUUGUCAUUCUACAGCUUUAAUAGAUGGAAAGAAAGGAAAAAAGAAAAAAGGAAAAGAUUCAUUCCUUGGACAAGCCUUGAGUUUCCAUUUUUAAAUGCUAUGAUUCUAAGUGCUGAAAUGGCAGAGCGAAACUAUGACACACCACGAGGAAGAGAAGAAAACUCCUGUCCUGCAUUUCCCGGAGGAUGGUCUUCACCCAAAGGGUCCCUGGUGUUGGCUAACUCUCCCCAUAACUCAGUUCUGGCGUCACUGCUGGAACCUAGGCAGGAAGAGAAGAAACACCCAGGCUCCCAGUGCCUGGUCCUGCCCUUCUGGCUAACUCCAGUCCCACAACCUUUAGUGAGCCUUGCCUUAUUCCAGACGUGCACUGGGUGCUAGGCACGCAAAUUGUAAGAUUCUCAACAUGUUCUUGUGUCUCUUUCAGAAGCAAAAACUGGGGAGAUACAGGCAGUUCGAAAUAAAUUAGCCACUAGACAAAGCUGUA